AGAGUUUGAUCCUGGCUCAGGACGAACGCUGGCGGCGUGCUUAACACAUGCAAGUCGAACGGAAAGGCCCUUCGGGGUACUCGAGUGGCGAACGGGUGAGUAACACGUGGGUGAUCUGCCCUGCACUUUGGGAUAAGCCUGGGAAACUGGGUCUAAUACCGAAUAGGACCACGCGCUUCAUGGUGUGUGGUGGAAAGCUUUUGCGGUGUGGGAUGGGCCCGCGGCCUAUCAGCUUGUUGGUGGGGUAAUGGCCUACCAAGGCGACGACGGGUAGCCGGCCUGAGAGGGUGACCGGCCACACUGGGACUGAGAUACGGCCCAGACUCCUACGGGAGGCAGCAGUGGGGAAUAUUGCACAAUGGGCGCAAGCCUGAUGCAGCGACGCCGCGUGAGGGAUGACGGCCUUCGGGUUGUAAACCCCUUUCAAUAGGGACGAAGCGCAAGUGACGGUACCUAUAGAAGAAGCACCGGCCAACUACGUGCCAGCAGCCGCGGUAAUACGUAGGGUGCGAGUGUUGUCCGGAAUUACUGGGCGUAAAGAGCUCGUAGGUGGUUUGUCGCGUUGUUCGUGAAAACUCACAGCUUAACUGUGGGCGUGCGGGCGAUACGGGCAGACUAGAGUACUGCAGGGGAGACUGGAAUUCCUGGUGUAGCGGUGGAAUGCGCAGAUAUCAGGAGGAACACCGGUGGCGAAGGCGGGUCUCUGGGCAGUAACUGACGCUGAGGAGCGAAAGCGUGGGGAGCGAACAGGAUUAGAUACCCUGGUAGUCCACGCCGUAAACGGUGGGUGCUAGGUGUGGGUUCCUUCCUUGGGAUCCGUGCCGUAGCUAACGCAUUAAGUACCCCGCCUGGGGAGUACGGCCGCAAGGCUAAAACUCAAAGGAAUUGACGGGGGCCCGCACAAGCGGCGGAGCAUGUGGAUUAAUUCGAUGCGACGCGAAGAACCUUACCUGGGUUUGACGUGCACAGGACGCCGGCAGAGAUGUCGGUUCCCUUGUGGCCUGUGUGCAGGUGGUGCAUGGCUGUCGUCAGCUCGUGUCGUGAGAUGUUGGGUUAAGUCCCGCAACGAGCGCAACCCCCGUCCUAUGUUGCCAGCGGGUUAUGCCGGGGACUCGUAGGAGACUGCCGGGGUCAACUCGGAGGAAGGUGGGGAGGACGUCAAGUCGUCAUGCCCCCUAUGUCCAGGGCUUCACACAUGCUACAAUGGCCUGUACAAAGGGCUGCGAUGCCGUGAGGUGGAGCGAAUCCUUUCAAAGCCGGUCUCAGUUCGGAUCGGGGUGUGCAACUCGACCCCGCGAAGUCGGAGUCGCUAGUAAUCGCAGAUCAG
rnacentral:rRNA from 1 species